UUAUUUAUAGGUUUUAAUGGUGCUUUCCUAUAUAACCAGCCAGCUGAAGCCCGUCUCCUUUUAGCGUUUACACUUACACGCACGUGCACGUCUACACUCUCCUGCCGUGAGUUCCAGCUCCAUUCUGUUCAGAACCAACAGACAUGAUUAUCAGACUGGGACGCCUGACUCCUGGAUACUUCCGUCUCCUGCAGAGGCAGGUAGCUGGUGAGAUUCAGACCCAGCCUCAGGAUGGCUCCCUUAACCAAAUUGCCAUGAUGCUUGCCAUUAUGGGUCUUGGCCUGUCCUACUACAGCGCCAAGCAGAUGACCGAGAAGGUGCAGCAUAGCCCGGUGCCCUGAACACAACCAUGACCUCUGAUCCAUUUGACUCCCUGCGGCGGAACAAAAGCCAAAUCGGAGAUGGAGGGUUGGAAGAAGACCUUAUCCAGGACUUCAUGUACACUACUUCACCAGAAGCCUGGAUGUUCUGAGUUUAGUCGGCAUGAGACGAGUACAGGGUUUUUAGCAAGCAAUGUCAACAAAAAAAUAGAGUUCAGAUAUGACCUGUGUCUUGAUAGUUGCACUGGUACAUUCAUCAGGGUCCUUUAAUACCUCUGAGGCCAAAAUUUUGGCUUAUCUUCAGUGAUUCCUAUUUAAAGGGAAUGAGCCAGUCACUGGUACUUUGGUGUAGAAUAUAUGCCCUUUUAAAGGGAAACCCUCUGCCUUCUGUAUCAAGCAACUGUUAAACGCAGGUCACUAAAAAACUAGGGAUAUAUAUAUAUAUAUAUAUAUAUAUAUAUAUAUAUAUAUAUAUAUAUAUAUAUAUAUAUAUAUUUUUUUUUUUUAUUAUUAUUUUUGUGAAAAGCUGCUUAAAUGGAGACUAGGCAUCGCAGGAAUCCUUCAAACUCGCACUGGAAGAGCAGUACCAAACUACACUAUAUGAAAUUAAAGGCCCAUUCGGUGUUACACACAGAUUUAUUGUACUGUUCUAAGUAGCCAUGUUUUUGUGACGUUUUUGAGCAAAGACCUUAAAUGUUAAAGGGAUGUUAACAAGUGCAUGUGUGUUGAGAUUUUAAAGAAUCCAAUAUGUGAUCUUGUCAAGUGAUUUUUAUAUGAAUGUAUGUUGAUUAUUUAAAAUUGGAUUAAAUAAAGCUGUGAACAUUUUUGAACAA